UGAGCAUGUAUAAAGGGUCUUUUCAUUGUAAAGCUGAAAUAUACAUGAGAUGGUUGAAAAAUGCAUUUUCUUUUUAUGAUCUCUGCAGGCACAUUUCAGACACCAUUUGUUAUCAGAAAAUGAAAUAAAGCUACAGACUAAAGAGACGCCAAAACUAGGGGGGUUUGGGGGGGGAGCCAAUUUGGCUCCCCCUGUGCUAUUUGAGAUUCCAUUUUAAGUUUUACGAACAGAGGGGUUGUCCUUUCACCAAGUAGAAUCUUUUGGCCUUUGGGAUAAAAACCCACAUGACUAGGAACACAAAGAAAAGAAACAAAUCCUCUUUUGGCCCCAAGAUAUGAAGAUGACUUAUGUCCAUUCCUCUCAGUGCUUGCUUUCUUUCCAAUUUCAACUUUUUCCCAAAUGUUU
rnacentral:lncRNA from 1 species